AACGACUCUCGGCAACGGAUAUCUCGGCUCUCGCAUCGAUGAAGAACGUAGCGAAAUGCGAUACUUGGUGUGAAUUGCAGAAUCCCGUGAACCAUCGAGUCUUUGAACGCAAGUUGCGCCCGAAGCCUUUAGGCCGAGGGCACGUCUGCAUGGGCG
rnacentral:rRNA from 1 species